rnacentral:rRNA from 1 species
AUCGAUGAAGAACGCAGCGAAAUGCGAUAAGUAAUGUGAAUUGCAGAAUUCAGUGAAUCAUCGAAUCUUUGAACGCACAUUGCGCCCUGUGGUAUUCCGCAGGGCAUGCCUGUUCGAGCGUCAGUACAACACUCAAGCCUAGCUUGGUCUUGGGCGUCACCAGUGAUGGUGUGCCUUAAAAUUAGUGGCGGCGCCUGUGAGGCUCUAAGCGUAGUAAUACUCCUCGCUUCAGGGACCCUUAUAGGAGCUAGCCAGCAACCCCCAACUUUCUAAGUUUGACCUCGGAUCAGGUAGGGAUACCCGCUGAACUUAAGCAUAUCAAUAAGCGGAGGAAAAGAAACCAACAGGGAUUGCCUCAGUAACGGCGAGUGAAGCGGCAACAGCUCAAAUUUGAAAUCUGUGCCUUUUAGGUACCGAGUUGUAGUUUGUAGAAGAUGCUUCGAGCGUGGCACCGGUCUAAGUUCCUUGGAACAGGACGUCAUAGAGGGUGAGAAUCCCGUAUGCGACUGGCCGCCUUCGUUCAUGUGAAGCUCUUUCGACGAGUCGAGUUGUUUGGGAAUGCAGCUCAAAAUGGGUGGUAUAUUUCAUCUAAAGCUAAAUAUUGGCCAGAGACCGAUAGCGCACAAGUAGAGUGAUCGAAAGAUGAAAAGCACUUUGGAAAGAGAGUUAAACAGUACGUGAAAUUGUUGAAAGGGAAGCGCUUGCAACCAGACUUGCACGCUGCCGAUCAUCUGGGGUUCUCCCCAGUGCACUCGGUUGCGUUCAGGCCAGCAUCGGUUUGGGUGGUUGGAUAAAGGCCUUGGGAAUGUAGCUCCUCUCGGGGAGUGUUAUAGCCCUCGGUGCAAUGCAGCCUACCCGGACCGAGGACCGCGCUUCGGCUAGGAUGCUGGCGUAAUGGUUGUAAGCGACCCGUCUUGAAACACG